GAUGAACGCUGGCGGUGUGCCUAAUACAUGCAAGUCGAGCGAACAGACGAGGAGCUUACUCCUCUGACGUUAGCGGCGGACGGGUGAGUAACACGUGGAUACCCUACCUAUAAGACUGGUAUAACUUCGGGAAACCGGAGCUAAUACCGGAUAACAUGUUGAACCGCAUGGUUCAACAGUGAAAGACUGUCUUGCUGUCACUUAUAGAUGGAUCCGCGUCGCAUUAGCUAGUUGGUAAGGUAACGGCUUACCAAGGCAACGAUGCGUAGCCGACCUGAGAGGGUGAUCGGCCACACUGGAACUGAGACACGGUCCAGACUACUACGGGAGGCAGCAGUAGGGAAUCUUCGGCAAUGGGCGAAAGCCUGACGGAGCAACGCCGCGUGAGUGAAGAAGGUCUUCGGAUCGUAAAACUCUGUUAUUAGGGAAGAACAACUGUGUAAGUAACUAUGCACAUCUUGACGGUACCUAAACAGAAAGCCACGGCUAACUACGUG
rnacentral:rRNA from 1 species